CUAUAAGUCACUGGUUUGAUGACAUUGCUGAAGUUCUGUUGUUUUCUUUGUUGGAUGAACUCAUUGUAGGAUGAAACAGGCGUCUAUAAAAAUCUGUUGCAAGAGAUAGCGCAAAGAGUUGGAGCUCCUUUGCCUCAGUACACAACAUAUCGGUCAGGACUUGGCCACCAACCCGUGUUUACAGGGACUGUAGAAUUGGCUGGAAUCACGUUUACUGGUGAACCUGCCAAGAACAAAAAGCAAGCUGAGAAGAAUUCUGCCCUGGCAGCUUGGUCAUCGUUGAAACAAUUGGCGCAGCAAGAUGCAAGUUUAUCAUCUGAACUGGAGAACAAUGAUGAGCAGGAACAGAUCAGAAUAGCAAGAGCCUUACUGAAUUACCGUUUGAAGGAACAGUUAGAAAUGGCCAAAUCUGGCAAGGUGCAAAUACCAUUCCAGAAGAAGUUCCCAAUUCCAUCUCCUCGACCAUCAAGUCCACAGCGUCCUGCAGUCACGUCAUCCAAAAUCCUCCCCUUAAUCUGCCCUAAAACAGUUAAUCGUUACAGAUCGUCCUCUGCGACAAUAAAUGACAGCCAUUCCUCGUUAUCACAGCCGCUGCCACAAUCACAAGCUUCAUCAUCAGAAGGCCGCACUGUUUCCACCCGUAUAUCUCAUGCUCCAGGGGCAGCUCCACCAUAUAUGCCAGUUAGACAAUAUAAUAGGACACCUUACCAUGGUAUUGCUCCGCCUGUUACAAUUAGAACAGCAGUGCCAGUUUUCUCUGCACCACCUCGUCCACAACCAACCGGAUGCCCAACUCAAAUGAUGCAGGCCCG
rnacentral:misc_RNA from 1 species